rnacentral:sRNA from 1 species
ACUGAUGCCCGCGUCGCG